rnacentral:lncRNA from 1 species
AGUCUCUCUGCCCUAGAUGUCCUAGUUUCCUUUGAAAUACCCUCCACCCUCCGGAGAAUUUCAAAGGAGAUGCAGCUUCUUCUCCCCACCAUAGAUAGCCCAAGGGUGAAGCAAUUCCGUGAUUCUGCAAUUCCAAGACCACUUUAUUGUUAAUUGGUCACCCGUGUGUUAACUGACAUUCUCCAUUUUCUACCUCUACAUCAGUCCUUCCUUUUUAUUUGCAGCUAAGAACGUCUCUCUCAAUCAGUUAUAAAGUACUUUCCCAAAUGGUUUCUGCAGUGCUCUAUACCCAAUAAGAGUUCAAGAAAUCCAACUGAUCCAUUUCUACCCAUGAAGAGAAAGUGGAAAGCAAAGGAUUCGAGGCUGGGCCAGACUUCAAGCUCACCGUGGACAGGGUAUGCGUCUCUUCAUCGCCGUAGCGUUCUCUUCCCUUCAUCGCCCUGUGCGGCCAGCGAUCAUCUUUGUUGUGAGAAGGUGAAGUUUUCACCCUCCGAAGCAGUGAUAAGCCGGAGGAAGACCAUCUUUCCUUCCGGAAUCCCCGUUGGAUGUUUGGGCAACAGAUGGUAGCU